GUCCUUAAGAAUAGAUUUUAAGGUUUAAUCUGCCCACUGAUUAAUUAAAUGGCCGCAGUAAUUUGACUGUGCAAAGGUAGCAUAAUCAUUAGUUUUUUAAUUAAAAGCUAGAAUGAAUGAUUGGACGAGAUAAAAACUGUCUUGAUAUAAUAGAAAGAAUUUUAUUUUUUAGUAAAAAAGCUAAAAUUUUUUUAAAAGACGAGAAGACCCUAUAGAUUUUUAUAUUUAUUUUAUUAAAAUUAAUUUGGAUUUAUUAAUAAUUUAUUAAAUAGAAUAUUUUAUUGGGGUAAUAUAAAGAUUAGAAAAAUUCUUUAUUUUAAAAAACAAAGAUUUUUGAUUUAAAUGAUCCUUAAAUAAAGAUUAAAAGAUUUAGUUACCUUAGGGAUAACAGCGUAAUUUUUUUAGAGAGUUCAUAUCGAUAAAAAAGUUUGCGACCUCGAUGUUGGAUUAAAAUUUAAUUUAAAUGAAGAAGUUUAAAUUUUUGGUCUGUUCGACCAUUAAAAUUUUACA
rnacentral:rRNA from 1 species